rnacentral:rRNA from 1 species
GCCUUGUACACACCGCCCGUCACACCACGAGAGUUUGUAACACCCGAAGUCGGUGAGGUAACCGUUAGGAGCCAGCCGCCUAAGGUGGGAUAGAUGAUUGGGGUGAAGUCGUAACAAGGUAGCCGUAUCGGAAGGUGCGGCUGGAUCACCUCCUUUCUAAGGAA